CUGGCCAGGUUUGCCUCUCUGACUGGGCCACUGCUGACCUGCUUCGUGUCCCGCAACCGGCCUGGCCUGAGGUGUCAAGACCUAUGCUAGAUGAUGGGAAGAGAGCCAAAAGCAAGUUAACCCUCAUCAAAUUCACAUAAGACACAACAUUUCAGGGUGAUCAUCAUUAAUG